rnacentral:rRNA from 1 species
GAUUAACGCUGGCGGCGUGCAUAACACAUGCAAGUCGAACGAUGAAACUUAAAUGAACUCUUCGGAGUGAUUUUAAGUGGAUUAGUGGCGGACGGGUGAGUAACGCGUGAGUAACCUGCCUUAGAGAAGGGGAUAGCCUUUGGAAACGAAGAAUAAUACCCUAUAACACCAACACCUCGCAUGAAGAGUUGGUCAAAGAUUUAUCGCUCUAAGAUGGACUUGCGUCUGAUUAGUUAGUUGGUGAGGUAACGGCCCACCAAGACAGCGAUCAGUAGCCGGCUUGAGAGAGUGUACGGCCACAUUGGGACUGAGACACGGCCCAGACUCCUACGGGAGGCAGCAGUGGGGAAUUUUGCACAAUGGGGGAAACCCUGAUGCAGCGACGCCGCGUGAUUUAGAAGGCCUUCGGGUUGUAAAAAUCUUUUCUAUGGGAAGAAAAUGA